GAUGAACGCUAGCGGCAGGCUUAACACAUGCAAGUCGAGGGGUAGAGGCCUCGGGACUUGAGACCGGCGCACGGGUGCGUAACGCGUAUGCAAUCUGCCUUCCACAGAGGGAUAGCCCAGAGAAAUUUGGAUUAAUACCUCAUAGCAUCAUGACCCGGCAUCGGGAUAUGAUUAAAGUCACAACGGUGGAAGAUGAGCAUGCGUCCCAUUAGCUAGUUGGUAAGGUAACGGCUUACCAAGGCUACGAUGGGUAGGGGUCCUGAGAGGGGAGAUCCCCCACCACAUGGUACUGAGACACGGACCAGACUCCUACGGGGAGGCAGCAGUGAGGAAUAUUGGUCAAUGGGCGCAAGCCUGAACCAGCCAUGCCGCGUGCAGGAUGACGGUCCUAUGGAUUGUAAAACUGCUUUUGUACGGGAAGAAACCCUCCUACGUGUAGGAGCUUGACGGUACCGUAAGAAUAAGGAUCGGCUAACUCCGUGCCAGCAGCCGCGGUAAUACGGAGGAUCCAAGCGUUAUCCGGAAUCAUUGGGUUUAAAGGGUCUGUAGGCGGUCUUGUAAGUCAGUGGUGAAAGCCCAUCGCUCAACGGUGGAACGGCCAUUGAUACUGCUGGACUUGAAUUAUUGGGAAGCAACUAGAAUAUGUAGUGUAGCGGUGAAAAUGCUUAGAGAUUACAUGGAAUACCAAUUGCGAAGGCAGGUUGCUACCAAUGGAUUGACGCUGAUGGACGAAAGGCGUGGGGUAGCGAACAGGGAUUAGAUACCCUGGUAGU
rnacentral:rRNA from 1 species